GAAGUUUGCAUGGUUCUCUUGGCAUCUCUGAAUCACACCGGACAAGAGCUCGCCCAAAGUCAGCAAUGACACCAACAAGAGCAAGAUGCAUGGGCAGAGUGGCAAGGAACGAGAAAAAUGGCCUGAGGUCAACAGUGUAGCAGCAACAAUGCAGAAGCCACAGAACAGGUGAAAGCGGAUGACACUGAACUUCCGUGAGGAACAGAUACGGCCGGGAGGCCCAACGCUGACUUCCUGUAGCUGACUGGCUCCAAUGCGAGGGUGAAGUAAUUUCUUUCCUCUGUGAUUUAUUUGCCAACCAUCAGUAAGCAAAACUACCAUGAAGAAAGGAGCAAAGUGCGAUUCACAGUGAAUCCUUCUCAAGAACAGGACUCCAGAGUGACAGAGCAGGUAAAACGGGGUCCUGUGUACCAAGAAGCUUGAGAAUCAAGCUCCACGUUCAUACCUAUUUCCGUGUAAUAACAACAGAGUUUUUAGUAAAACUCUGUGCCAGGUACAUAGUGUGAAGAGCUUUACAUGCAUUAUCUCACUGCACCAAAAGGAUCAUCCACAUUUUACAGAUGAAGACACUGGGGUUUACGGAGGUUAAAAAACCUGCAUACAAGGCUAAUAAAACUUGACUCAAGGCACGGGCACUGCUUGGCCUCCAAAGACCACUC